CGAAGCCGUAGCGAAAGCGAGUCUGAAUAGGGCGCUUAGUCAGAUGCUGCAGACCCGAAACGAAGUGAUCUAUCCAUGAGCAAGUUGAAGCUAGUGUAAGAACUAGUGGAGGACUGAACCCAUAGGCGUUGAAAAGCCCCGGGAUGACUUGUGGAUAGGGGUGAAAGGCCAAUCAAACUUCGUGAUAGCUGGUUCUCUCCGAAAUAUAUUUAGGUAUAGCGUUGUGUCGUAAUAUAAGGGGGUAGAGCACUGAAUGGGCUAGGGCAUACACCAAUGUACCAAACCCUAUCAAACUCCGAAUACCUUAUAUGUAAUCACAGCAGUCAGGCGGCGAGUGAUAAAAUCCGUCGUCAAGAGGGAAACAACCCAGACUACCAGCUAAGGUCCCUAAAUCUUACUUAAGUGGAAAACGAUGUGAAGUUACUUAAACAACCAGGAGGUUGGCUUAGAAGCAGCCAUCCUUUAAAGAAAGCGUAAUAGCUCACUGGUCUAGUGAUUUUGCGCGGAAAAUAUAACGGGGCUAAAGUAAGUACCGAAGCUGUAGACUUGCGCACAACUUAGAUUAUUUAAGUUUAGAAUAUGAGAAACUAAGUUAUAUGUUUAGUUAUAUUUUUACUGAUUUUUAUAGAGUAAAGAUAGAAAUAAAACUUAGUAAAAUCAGUAAAAAUAUUCUUAGACUAAAGUUAAGUAGUUUAAGUUGUGUGCAAGUGGUAGGAGAGCGUUCUAUUUGCGUCGAAGGUAUACCGGUAAGGAGUGCUGGAGCGAAUAGAAGUGAGCAUGCAGGCAUGAGUAGCGAUAAUUAAUGUGAGAAUCAUUAACGCCGUAAACCCAAGGUUUCCUACGCGAUGCUCGUCAUCGUAGGGUUAGUCGGGUCCUAAGUCGAGUCCGAAAGGGGUAGACGAUGGCAAAUUGGUUAAUAUUCCAAUACCAACAUUAGUGUGCGAUGGAAGGACGCUUAGGGCUAAGGGGGCUAGCGGAUGGAAGUGCUAGUCUAAGGUCGUAGGAGGUUAUACAGGCAAAUCCGUAUAACAAUACUCCGAGAACUGAAAGGCUUUUUGAAGUCUUCGGAUGGAUAGAAGAACCCCUGAUGCCAUCGAGCCAAGAAAAGUUUCUAAGUUUAGCUAAUGUUGCCCGUACCGUAAACCGACACAGGUGGGUGGGAUGAGUAUUCUAAGGCGCGUGGAAGAACUCUCUUUAAGGAACUCUGCAAAAUAGCACCGUAUCUUCGGUAUAAGGUGUGGUUCGCUUCGUAUUAGGAUUUACUCCGAAAGCGAAGAAACUUACAACAAAGAGUCCCUCCCGACUGUUUACCAAAAACACAGCACUCUGCUAACUCGUAAGAGGAUGUAUAGGGUGUGACGCCUGCCCGGUGCUCGAAGGUUAAUUGAUGGGGUUAGCAUUAGCGAAGCUCUUGAUCGAAGCCCGAGUAAACGGCGGCCGUAACUAUAACGGUCCUAAGGUAGCGAAAUUCCUUGUCGGUUAAAUACCGACCUGCAUGAAUGGCGUAACGAGAUGGGAGCUGUCUCAAAGAGGGAUCCAGUGAAAUUGUAGUGGAGGUGAAAAUUCCUCCUACCCGCGGCAAGACGGAAAGACCCCGUGGACCUUUACUACAGCUUGACACUGCUAUUUGGAUAAGAAUGUGCAGGAUAGGUGGGAGGCUUUGAGUAUAUGACGCCAGUUGUAUAUGAGCCAUUGUUGAGAUACCACUCUUUCUUAUUUGGGUAGCUAACCAGCUUGAGUUAUCCUCAAGUGGGACAAUGUCUGGUGGGUAGUUUGACUGGGGCGGUCGCCUCCCAAAUAAUAACGGAGGCUUACAAAGGUUGGCUCAGAACGGUUGGAAAUCGUUCGUAGAGUAUAAAGGUAUAAGCCAGCUUAACUGCAAGACAUACAAGUCAAGCAGAGACGAAAGUCGGUCUUAGUGAUCCGGUGGUUCUGUGUGGAAGGGCCAUCGCUCAAAGGAUAAAAGGUACCCCGGGGAUAACAGGCUGAUCUCCCCCAAGAGCUCACAUCGACGGGGAGGUUUGGCACCUCGAUGUCGGCUCAUCGCAUCCUGGGGCUGGAGCAGGUCCCAAGGGUAUGGCUGUUCGCCAUUUAAAGCGGUACGCGAGCUGGGUUCAGAACGUCGUGAGACAGUUCGGUCCCUAUCUGCCGUGGGCGUAAGAAGAUUGAAGAGAUUUGACCCUAGUACGAGAGGACCGGGUUGAACAAACCACUGGUGUAGCUGUUGUUCUGCCAAGAGCAUCGCAGCGUAGCUAAGUUUGGAAAGGAUAAACGCUGAAAGCAUCUAAGCGUGAAGCCAACUCUAAGAUGAAUCUUCUCUAAGCUCUCUAGAAGACUACUAGUUUGAUAGGCUGGGUGUGUAAUGGAUGAAAGUCCUUUAGCUGACCAGUACUAAUAGAGCGUUUGGCUUAUCUUUAAUAAAGCAU
rnacentral:rRNA from 1 species